AAUCUUAAGGAUUUAGUCUCUUAUAUUAUGCUCGGAUUAUAGAUCGUAAAACUCCAAUUUUGCGGCGAGAGAAGAAUUACAUAUUGAAUAUCCAAGUAGAGUGGGUGAAAAAGAAUUAGGUAGAUAGCUGGAAUUUCCAAUCCACGAAAUGAUGGUAUACGGUUAGUUGAAUCCCUUAGAUAUGAAUGUUGCAAAAACGUGAUAUAAAAAUUCAAGUAAGUCUUUUUAACUAUGCUUGUUCAAUUUGAUUGUGAAACUUAUAUCGGUGAUCUGUCUAUAUAAAUUUCUGUGAAUAAUUUUUAUAUCUUACUCAACAUCCAUGAGAAUGAAUGAUAAGAUAGUUUUGAAAUUACGUAUUCAAUUCCUAAUUGGACUUUGUGCAAGUCCAUAAUACUCUGUUUCUUCUAGUGGAAAAACAAAACAAAGGUUUAUUAUAUGUAUAGUUUUGCUUGUGAUCAAUCGGUAUGAAAAAAAAAAAAACUAGAUGACUACUACUAAAGAAUUUAAUUAUGAGAUUCUUAUUUUCUUGUGUAAGUGUUUGUCAUAUUGCUCUAAGUGAUUUAAACAUAUAAUUUUUCAUGAGGUUUGAGAUAUUGGCUUAUUUGAAUAACCUGGACAUAUAAAAAC
rnacentral:lncRNA from 1 species